rnacentral:rRNA from 1 species
GACGAACGCUGGCGGCGUGCUUAACACAUGCAAGUCGAACGGAAAGGCCCUUCGGGGUACUCGAGUGGCGAACGGGUGAGUAACACGUGGGUGAUCUGCCCUGCACUUUGAGAUAAGCCUGGGAAACUGGGUCUAAUACCGAAUAGGACCACGCGCUUCAUGGUGUGUGGUGGAAAGCUUUUGCGGUGUGGGAUGGGCCCGCGGCCUAUCAGCUUGUUGGUGGGGUAAUGGCCUACCAAGGCGACGACGGGUAGCCGGCCUGAGAGGGUGACCGGCCACACUGGGACUGAGAUACGGCCCAGACUCCUACGGGAGGCAGCAGUGGGGAAUAUUGCACAAUGGGCGCAAGCCUGAUGCAGCGACGCCGCGUGAGGGAUGACGGCCUUCGGGUUGUAAACCUCUUUCAAUAGGGACGAAGCGCAAGUGACGGUACCUAUAGAAGAAGCACCGGCCAACUACGUGCCAGCAGCCGCGGUAAUACGUAGGGUGCGAGCGUUGUCCGGAAUUACUGGGCGUAAAGAGCUCGUAGGUGGUUUGUCGCGUUGUUCGUGAAAACUCACAGCUUAACUGUGGGCGUGCGGGCGAUACGGGCAGACUAGAGUACUGCAGGGGAGACUGGAAUUCCUGGUGUAGCGGUGGAAUGCGCAGAUAUCAGGAGGAACACCGGUGGCGAAGGCGGGUCUCUGGGCAGUAACUGACGCUGAGGAGCGAAAGCGUGGGGAGCGAACAGGAUUAGAUACCCUGGUAGUCCACGCCGUAAACGGUGGGUACUAGGUGUGGGUUCCUUCCUUGGGAUCCGUGCCGUAGCUAACGCAUUAAGUACCCCGCCUGGGGAGUACGGCCGCAAGGCUAAAACUCAAAGGAAUUGACGGGGGCCCGCACAAGCGGCGGAGCAUGUGGAUUAAUUCGAUGCAACGCGAAGAACCUUACCUGGGUUUGACAUGCACAGGACGCCGGCAGAGAUGUCGGUUCCCUUGUGGCCUGUGUGCAGGUGGUGCAUGGCUGUCGUCAGCUCGUGUCGUGAGAUGUUGGGUUAAGUCCCGCAACGAGCGCAACCCUUGUCCUAUGUUGCCAGCGGGUUAUGCCGGGGACUCGUAGGAGACUGCCGGGGUCAACUCGGAGGAAGGUGGGGAUGACGUCAAGUCAUCAUGCCCCUUAUGUCCAGGGCUUCACACAUGCUACAAUGGCAGGUACAAAGGGCUGCGAUGCCGUGAGGUGGAGCGAAUCCUUUCAAAGCCGGUCUCAGUUCGGAUCGGGGUCUGCAACUCGACCCCGUGAAGUCGGAGUCGCUAGUAAUCGCAGAUCAGCAACGCUGCGGUGAAUACGUUCCCGGGCCU